UACGUAGGUCCCGAGCGUUGUCCGGAUUUAUUGGGCGUAAAGCGAGCGCAGGUGGUUUAUUAAGUCUGGUGUAAAAGGCAGUGGCUCAACCAUUGUAUGCAUUGGAAACUGGUAGACUUGAGUGCAGGAGAGGAGAGUGGAAUUCCAUGUGUAGCGGUGAAAUGCGUAGAUAUAUGGAGGAACCCCGGUGGCGAAAGCGGCUCUCUGGCCUGUAACUGACACUGAGGCUCGAAAGCGUGGGGAACAAACAGG
rnacentral:rRNA from 1 species